rnacentral:rRNA from 1 species
GGGUCAGUAGGUUGGUCGUGCCACCGGUACGUACUGGUCUCACUGAUUCCUCCUUCCUGAAGAACCUUAAUGCCAUUAAUUUGGUGUUGCGGGGAAACAGGACUGUUACUUUUAAAAAAUUAGAGUGUUUAAAGCAAGCUAACGCUUGAAUACAUUAGCAUGGAAUAAUGAAAUAGGGCGAUCGAUCCUAUUUUGUUGGUUUCUAGGAUUGACGUA